GCCAAGUAGUUGUCCAGCAUUCAUGUCUCUUCUUGCCUGCCUCGUUACAAUCCUGCUUCUGGUUUUUGUUCUCACGUCUCCUGCCUCAGCCCUUGUUGGACUUGUUCAGUCAUCAGCCUCACGGAUUUCGACCCUCCUGGAUUUUGGAUUCACGUCUCCUGUCCUCGCCCUCCACGGAUUUGUUCAGUCAUCUGACUCACGGAUCUUGACCUUCGCCUACUCUCCCCUACCACGAGUUAAGUCUGCUCCUCCUAACCUGGUUACGCUUUCUGAUCUUUUGUGUAUGACCCCCGCCCGAACCAUGGAUUUUCCCCGAACUUCCAAGUCUCUCCAGAGUAAAUUCCGUAAACACGGAAGUAACGUCGGACUUCAUCCUAGGCUGUCCAUAUCAUUCAGGAGUUUGUUCCAGACCAAGCGCUCUCUGAAAAGAGCUCCGGAUUCCCUUGACGUGUGUGUCCAGAUCCUGCUUCCAGUUUGUUUGUAAAACGUUUAGAACUAUUCAGGUGUCUGGCAACGUUGUGAAACUCGUUUUCCCAUACAUUACAAAUUGAUCCAAAAUUAUUGAAGCAAAACUAUUUGUGCAUUGCAACUGUGGAGUUUUGUAAUUGUUGUUUUGUUUUUUUCUGUCUUUCACAAAUGCAAAACAAAACAAUCAACAAAAACCCCAAAAAUCAAACAAAACACCUCUUCAGAUUUUUAAAGAGGAACUAAACCCCAAAUCAACUUUACAUAUAUACUGGGCCUUAAGUGAGCAAUAUUUAUGUUACUGUGCUAUUUUUUUUAUUUCAUGUAAACUUAAUUUAAUUCAAUUCUGCAAUAUCUGUCAUAAAACAGCCCCGCGUUCCGGUAUAAAACCAUCUAACUCCGAACACUCACCUGUAUGUAGCAAGUCAGGAGUUGGAAUUGCUUCUCUGCUGCCCCAGCAGAGCCGGUGUUGUGCCGUAAAGUGAUGGUCUGCCAAAAACUGAUCGAGUAAGAUCGGGCGCGUCCCCGCGAAGGAGCGAGCAGCGAGAGGGGGAGGAGCUUGCUGCAGGAGCGCGCCCAACCUGUCAGCUGAGUGUCUGGUUUUGAGAGUUCUUUCUUGGUGGUUUAGCUCUUGAAGUCAACAAAAGAAACACAAAUAAAACAGUUAUAUCUGUAUGGUCUUCGUUACAGCAAAGGCGUGUCUCGUUUAUCCUUUUCUUCUUAUAAAACCUGCGACGUUCUCACUGUGAAAGUUUCGGUUUCACGCUUUCGUCGUUUGUCAUAAAUAUCUGCAAAUUUACAUUUUAAACUAUAGCAGUAAGAAUAAACUUUUAAUCAUUUAUCUGCACUAACUUUGCUUGGAUUUAGAACCUCUCUGUCACGCAACUGUACUGUGAUGGAUGUAACUUAAUAAAUGACAAAAUAAAAUAAAAAAAAAUGUUUUUUGACGUA